UAAUAAAGGCUGUUAGGGGCACUUGGAAUUUUGUCUGGCAACAGGCAACGCUGGCACAGGGAUGUGCCAGCGAGGCGCAUUUGAACAUGGAUGUGAAUUUGCGCCGGUUGCCGGAAUGGAUACUAUUUGAAGAAAAUUCUUAGUGCCCCUUGCAAGAUAAUGUG
rfam:Roseburia sp. CAG:45 genomic scaffold, scf88